UUGAGACACCUUCCCGACAGUGGGAACCGUCCUCUCCCGCCCUUGGUUAGGCCAAGGGGGUGACACUUUGAAUUCCUUCACCUCCCUUCACUAACAGACAACCCCACGGGAAUCUCAAGCAGGCUGCAGUCCUUUCUCAGUUGUCGAUUAAUCUUCAAAGACAUCCCUUCCGUCCUAGUCCGGAGGAGUGGCCCAGUAAAAUGAAUGAGUUUUUAAACUUCUGGAUGAAAACAAGAAAGAGGAAGUGGAACCUGUGUUAAAUCAUCCUAAUGUUCUUGUAUGUGUGGGAAGAGAGCAGAGAUACUGGAUAACUUUAAACUUUCUUAAGAUGAGGAAACUGAAGACCCGAGGAGGUGAAAAGACUUGUUUAAAGUGAAAUAUCUAGCUUUCUCAUUAAGUAACUGUUUGCUGAAUGAAGGAAUAACAUUACAUCAUCAUCAGAAACCAAUUUCCUGUGUGUCAGAGAGUACACAGAUUUGCUCAAGAUUCCCUGUCUACCCCUGCACCACCAGGAGGACAGUAAAGCCUUGCAGAGGCUGCAU